UUUAGAGGAAGUAAAAGUCGUAACAAGGUUUCCGUAGGUGAACCUGCGGAAGGAUCAUUAAUGAAUUAAAGUCGGUCUUCUGUGCUGGUGGUGACACAUGUGCACGUUGAUCGCAAAUCCACACACCUGUGCACCUUUGACUUUAGGAUCCGCUUGUUGGCUUGUCUGACUUGCAGCUGAUGUUGGUUUUGUGCUCAUCUGGAUCUUAGAGUAAUUUUACACACCCUGAAUGUAAUGGAGUGUUCCUGUGCAUAAUGCGCAAAAUACAACUUUCAACAACGGAUCUCUUGGCUCUCGCAUCGAUGAAGAACGCAGCGAAAUGUGAUAAGUAAUGUGAAUUGCAGAAUUCAGUGAAUCAUCGAAUCUUUGAACGCACCUUGCACCCUUUGGUAUUCCAAAGGGUACACCCGUUUGAGUGUCAUUGUAAUCUCACUUCAUCAGCUUUUGUUGAUGGAGGUGGACUUGGACUCUGUUGUGUCAUUACAACUGGUCUGAAAUGUGUGAGUGCACCCUGCUGUUGCAGCGUCCUCAGUGUGAUAAGCAUCUUCACUGAAUCAAGUUCCUUUGGGACACGUGUGUAAUGUGGGCUCUGUGCUGGCAAACUGUCUUUGGACAAUCUUGACAAUUUGACCUCAGAUCGAGUGGGACUACCCGCUGAACUUAAGCAUAUCAAUAAGCGGAGGAAAAGAAACUAACAAGGAUUCCCCUAGUAACGGCGAGUGAAGAGGGAAAAGCUCAAAUUUUGAAUCUGGUGCCUUUGGCAUCCGAGUUGUAAUCUAGAGAAGUGUUUUCUGCCUUGGACCACACAUAAAUUCCCUGGAAUGGGGUGUCAUAGAGGGUGAGAAUCCCGUUUGUGGUGUGGACUACCUUGGCUCUGUGAUACACUCUCAACGAGUCGAGUUGUUUGGGAAUGCAGCUCAAAAUGGGUGGUAAAUUCCAUCUAAAGCUAAAUAUUGGCGAGAGACCGAUAGCGAACAAGUACCGUGAGGGAAAGAUGAAAAGCACUUUGGAAAGAGAGUGAAACAGUACGUGAAAUUGUUGAAAGGGAAGCGUUUGAAGUCAGUCACAUUGGUCAGAAUUCAGCCUGGCUUAUGCCUGGUGUACUUUCUGGCAAAUGGGUCAGCGUCAAUUUUGACCGAGGGAGAAAGACUUGAGGAAGGUGGCUGUCUUUGGGCAGUGUUAUAGCCUCUUGUUGUAAUGCUCGGUUGGGAUUGAGGAUCGCAGCACGCCUUAUGGCCGGGGUUCGCGCCCUCGGUACGUGCUUAGGACGCUGGCAUAAUGGCUUUAAGCGACCCGUCUUG
rnacentral:rRNA from 1 species